ensembl:lncRNA
GUGUAAAAUCCAUUCAGUCUCUAUCUGAUGCUAAUGCUAAUCCCGCUGCCUCUGUGGUUAGGCUGGGAUAAAGGACGUUGAAAAGGCCAUCCAGCUGGCCAGAAACAACAGGCAACUUCUCCUCCAGUCCUUGAAUGCAACACAGACCGUGCAGGAUGAAUCACGCCAGCCCAAGGGGACCGCAAGAAUCGGGGAAGAGCCUAUGCCCAAUAUCACACCAGUGGAGAAAUCAGUCUUGGAAGCAAGUACCAUGACUAAUAAAGAAAAGGUUCCUCCUCCUCCCGCUGCUGCUGCUGCUGCUAGGCCCAAGACCCAGAGCUUUCAGCAGCUGAACAAGUCUGGCGUGUGGUCGAAGUUAGUGGACGAAGCUGUGGCUGUGCUCCAAGAGGGGGCCAGGAGGAUCUUUCUACCUGAGGACAAGAGCAAAGCGGGAGGCCCUCAGGACAAGGACAAAGAGAGACGCCUUGAGGACAAUGCCAAAGAGGGACGCCCUCAGGACAAUGCCAAAGAGGGACGCCUUGAGGACAAGUCCAAAGAGGGAGACCUUCAGGGCAAGACUGAAGACGGGCGUCCUGAUGUCAAGACCAAAGAGGAAGCCCUUGUUGGUGUGGAUGGACAGGAAAUGCAGAACAAAGACAAAGCUGAGGGACAGCACAAAACGAAAGCCUCAGUGAAGAAGUCAAAGGGGAAGAAAAAGGCGGCAGCACUCAACUCCGGAGUUCCAUCUCUGAAGGUCUGAGUCACACAGGAACGAAGCAGUGGCGAGUUGGAGCUGGUUAUCUUGCAGCACAGACAGCGGAGUGUGUGCUGCACACCGCAGGAUGUGGGAGGCGUGUUUGUGACGAGACCUGCUCCGCUCUACACCUUGGAAAGGCCACUUCCUGCCCCGUGUCACAAAAUAUACACAAAUAGACUUCUUUAUUUACAACAUGCGAACAAAUUUUUUUUGUUUUUCUCUCUGCUAACAAACUAUAAAGUCUACUAAAGAAUUAAGAAAUUGCAUAGGCUAUGUGAGGCUAAGAGAAUACAGCAUAUAUAUCAGACCUAUAGAGAGUAUUCUAUUUAUUUUACAUUAUCAGAACAGCGAAGCAAUGUACAAGCACUGAUGUUAAAGAUUAUCUCUGAAAUGUACUACAGAAACUGAACUGAGAUAUGUGUACAAGAUUCCAGUGAAAUAACUGUCUCUGAUUGGUGAAUGCACCUACAACUCCUGUGGCCAAUAGCACCGUGGAAACAGACCCAUUGGAAACAUAACAGCAGGCACUGGAAAUAUGACAAUAGGCACUGGAAAUAUGACAGUAGGCACUGAAAAUAUGACAAAGGCACUGGAAAUAUGACAAAGGCACUGGAAAUAUGACAACAGGCACUAGACAUUUGACAGCAGGCACUAUAAAGUGACCAGUGGAAAUGUGAGUAAUAUGAUACAUUUCACUGUCGCUAGUAGAAAUGCUUUUGGCAGAGAAAAUUAUUUGGCAGAUGCUUUUGUCCAAAGUGAAAGCUUUUUAACCAUACAAAUGAUGAACUCAGCGUGAUACAAACUUUAGCAGAUAUCAAUGGUAUGUGAAUCCCAAUUGAUCUCUCUCUUAAUUGUCUUCUGUCUGAUUUGAGGACCACAUGUUUGUGCCGUUAACUAUGGAAAAAGAGAGAGAGAGAGAGAGUGAGAGAGAGAGAGCAGAAGAGAGAAGAAGAGAGGGUGUUAAGGUGUCAGUAGGUGUUAGUCAGACACUAACUGAGACUUGGUUGUCUCUCACAUAAUCUCAAAUAUUGGGACAUCCAACCCACAAUAAGCGUUCAAACUUUCUGUUGUAAUUAAAUCAUUGCAGUUGUGUUAAAAUGUCUGACCUGUUCUAUGAGUCUUCUUCUUUCUGCACACGCAUAUAGUCACGGCCAGACUAAUCAGAAGCCCCAAAGACACGGGUAUGAUGACAUCUGUGGACCAAAUACAUGUCAACAUUCCUGUUCAUUACAUUGACUCAUUGAGCAGAUGUCUUUAAUCAAAUCGACUUCCAGUAUGGUACAGAUACAUAGAGACAUUCAUCAGUGUGUGCGCCGCCUGGGUAGGGAACCCACGACUCGGUGGUGUUACCCCCUUUUGCCUUACCAGUUGAGCUUCAGGUUCACUAUGUUCCCUGCUAAAGCAUUUAAGUUCCUAAGUAACAAUCCUCAUAGAAAUAUAUUUACUGUUCUAGAUAUUUUGACUCAUUAAAUACCAAAUAAAUAUACAGAGUAUAUAGUCUGCAGGUAAUGGCUACUGACAGUAAAUCCACCAAUGCUCCUCCACGUCCACUAUGAUGACAUCAGCAACACUGCGAGAAGGGGUGGUGGUGUUUGUCACGGAAUCAGUCCUGUGAGUCGUGGCCACAGUUUGGGUGUCUGCACAAACAAACAAACAAAUAAACAAACAACAUUACUACAGGUCUACAUUCUACAUGCCAACUGACAAUGCAGUGAAGUCUAUUGGCCUAAAAUCUAAAUUGAUUAAGUAUGGAUGAUAAAUCUGAAAUCAAUUAUACAGAUUAAAUAUGGAACAAUAUCAGAAUAUCAAGAAACUGAGGAAAUGCAAUAGCAAUUACGAAUUACGAAUAAAAUUACGAUUAACUGACUCAUACCAGACAGUACAAUUGUGUUUAGAAAUGGAAAGGAAUAUUCCAGAUGUUUAGGAUGUAUCUGGGUGCAUACGUUCUCAGUGUCCCAUGUUCAGUCCUACUCUCCCACAUACAUUUAGCCUAAUAAUACAUUUAGUCUAAUAAUGCAUUUAGUCUAAUAAUAUAUUUAGUCUAAUAAUGCAUUGCCACCUGCCGCCUUAAAGAAAGAGAUCAAACUCAACCGUGGCAGGGAUGCAGCAGCACUGAGUUCUUGUUGCUGCUGACGUGGUUUGAGACGCUGCAGGUGAGUUCUCCAGUCACAUUCCGACUCAGCCGCAGAGUCUGGUUAUCUGCUCUGAGAUCAGCAUCAGCUUCACUCAGAGGCCUCCCGUUCAGGGACCAGAUGUACUGAGGACUGUCCCCAUUGGAGGAGCAGUUCACAGCCCUGAUCCAAUCGCUGCAGUGCUGGGUAAGCACAGGCUUGUCCACAGGAGCUGGUCAGAGGGGACAUUUAUUAGACACGACUCAUCACACACCCAGCAGUCUUUGCCACUGUGAGCAUCAGAGUUAGGAGUCAUUCAUGUUAUUAAGAACAGUGCAUUUAGGAAGUACAACAUUACUUUUUUGGCAGUUGGCACAUGUUGUUAUAAGAUAUACUCUAGGUUAGGAAUAGGGUCAUAGAUGUAAUAUUAUGAAAUUACAAGUACAAGUAUUAUUUAUGACUUACAUAAGUAAACAAGGUGGUACCAAUGUAGGGAUUAGAGAUAAGUUUUAAGCUUACCUUCGAUUGUUAGUUGGACUGUUGACCCCCCAAUGCUCUUCCCUGUUGACUGAUCAAAGCUCUCUGCUUUGUAGAGUCCAGAGUCAUUUCUCUCAGCUGGGCCUAUUCUCAGAGUCCCAUUCUCAGGACUGAACUGCCAUCUAUCCUUGACGCUGUCCUUGAGAAAUGUAACCUGGGAUUUUCUGAAUCUGAAAAUCCUUUGGUCAUUGUGAUCUAAAUUUAAUGCGUAUCCGCUGGUGCUCGUUGUCAGUUGUAGAUGCACUGUGUGUCCCAGUGUCCUAUAACAAGGUGUCUCCCGCCUAACACUGCAGAUGGUUUCCACUUGAAACAUUCCUGUGAAUAUAGAAUACAGAUACUCAAUGGUCUUAGAUGCACUUAGCCUUUGUUGAGUUCUGAGCCAUUCAAUUGAAAUGCAGAUCAACCACAAAUCCCUACAGAUAAUAGAUAGAUAUGCAGUCUAAUUAUAUCUAUACCAGUAGCACGGACAUUUCUGAUCUUUCAAGCUAUGCUAAUUUAUGCACACAGAUAGAAACUGAGUAAAUAUAGUGGGUUGAACUACAGUAUGCAGUGAAUUUGUGUAGCCAAUUAAUUUGUGGAUGUCAUCACACAGGGUGAAUAUGUUUUUCUAUGUGCUUGCGGUACGU